rnacentral:lncRNA from 1 species
UUUUUUUUUUCUUUUUUGGAGACGGGGUCUUACUCUGUCGCCCAGGCUGGAGUGCAAUGGCGCGAUCUCGGCUCACUGCAACCUCCACCUCCCAGGUUCAAGUGAUUCUCCUGCCUCAGCCUCCCGGUAGCUGGGAUUACAGGCGCGCAUCACUAUGCCUGGGUAAUUUUUGUAUUUUUAGUAGAGACGGGGUUUCUCCCUGUUGGCCAGGCUGGUCUUGAACUCCUGACCUCAAGUGAUCCAUCCGCCUCUGCCUCCCAAAGUGCCGGGAUUACAGGUGUGAGUCACUGCACCCUGCCAGACACAUUUUUUCUAUCCUGGGUUUAGAUAUGCCUCUUCCCCAGGGCAGGACAAAGGUGCAGCACGAGAGGGCUAGAGCACAAAAUUUAAGAAGCCGCAACCCCGAGGGAGAGGCCUCCUUGAAAUUUGCACCUUUACCCACUCCCUUGCCCUACUCUAGUCCAGGCUUUACUCUUCCAUUUAUACGUUCUCAAAUGCAAUGUCCUUUCUGGGGUUUGGAUUUGCAGAGCUAGGUCCUGCUCAUGCGGGCAGGGUUGGAGGAAGGUUUGCAGAGCCCUUUUUCCACCGCAAAACAUGGAGCCAUUACUUAUGGUCAUUCUUGCCAUGCUGUGGUUGGGCCCACAUCUCCCAACUUUGGCACCGAGUGCAAGGGGCUCUUCCUAAUUAUGGGUUGAUGACUUCCAGGGCACUUGGUGUUAAGUUACCUUCACAAGAAACCAGAUGGGUCCUUGGACAAGGGUAACUUGCUUUCAUUCACUGGUGCUUUACAUUAGAGAAAUAAAUCCCAAUCUGCCUUCACAGGAAAUUAUGAUAAUUUGUCUAAUAACAGAAUGAUAAUUUCGUAUAUUAACAUAAAGUUCUUUGCUAAUCAGACCUUGCUGGACUAAAUGAGUCAAGAUAAGCUCCUCCAGAGCAUGUGGUUCUCAUUACUCUGUGUCCAGGCAUCUGAUAACACAGAUAGUAGGUGCUCAAUGAAUGUUUGUUCAUUGAACAUAUGAAUGAAGAAACACCCAGUCUCAGAGUGAAAUUAAUACUCAGUCUAUCAGGGCCUAGGCCCUUUAAGUAGCAGAAAGGGCAGAGCCAUGAACCUGACCUAAUGAUUUAAAAAUCAACCACUGCUGUUUCCUCCCUACAGAAACAAGUCCUCCUUCUGGCUUUUGCUGACAGGCACUUUUUCAUCUUCUGUUUUGUGAGAGACUGGUUUCUAGCUAUCACCUUAGCUCUUGCUGCCUGACUGGAUAUUUCACAUCUUUCUAGAUCUAUCCUCUUUCUCCCACACCCACGUCCACUGAUGGAACCAACCUCUGAGAAACUCUGACCCUGAGCUUAUGGUGAUCUUUCUUGUUGUGGCUCCUGACCUGCAACUAUAAACACUGCAUUCUGCCUUGGAAUAGUUUAAAUACCUCACCUGCCCUAGUGGCUCCCUGGCAAAGAGUCCUUUUGACAAAUUCAGACACACUGGUGCCAUCCUCAGCUGCUGCUCUACUUCGGAUGUUUGUCCCCUGACAUCUCAUGUUGAAAUUUAAUCCCCAGUGCUGGAGGUGGGGCCUAAUGGGAGGUGUUCGGGUCAUGGAGACAGAUCCCUCAUGAAGGGCUUGGUGCCAUCCUGGUGGAGAUGAGUGAAUUCCUGCUAUAUUAUUUUCCUUGAGAGCUGGUUGUUAAAAAAAAAAAAAAAAAGAAAAAACAACAAAAAAAGGUGGUCGUCUCCCUUCUCUUUCACCAUUUGCUUGCGCAUACCAGCUCCUCUUUGCUUUCCGCCAUGAGUGGAAGCAGCCUAUAGCCCUCACCAGAAGUAGAUGCUGGUGUCAUGCUUCUUGUACAGCCUGUAGAACCAUGAGCCAAAUAAACCUCUUUUCUUUAUAAAUUACCUAGCCUCAGGUAUUCCUUUAUAGAAACACAAAUGGACUAAGACAACCUGCCAUCUUGAGACUUCUGCCAUCAACUGCACAAGGGUUGCACCCAGCAAGCACUGCUCGGUGCCCUGCUGCCAUCUCCUGGAGAUUGUUGAUCCUCUCCUGCUCCUUAGACUGUUGGGCCUGCUCUCCUUAACCAGUUCUAAC